GCUGAGGCAGAAAUUGGCUGUCAGGGAGCUCUGAACAUGGCGAGGCGGAACGCUGAGCGCUCGCUGUGCCUCGGCAUGGAGCGCCCUGCGUCCCUCCCCUUCUCCUGUGCUCUAGGUCGCUGCUCGGCAAAACUGCUCUGCGAAUGAAGCCGAGAGCUAUCACAAGCCAAACAAUCCUUCUGACAUCCAGGAUCAGGAACCCGCCCGUGCCUUACAGAAAGGAACAACUAACAACUAAUCCCAGCUAUCAGCGCAAGUGGAAUGAAAGCCCUUAACUGCAUCUCCAAGGCUGAACAACUUGCUUGCUUUAUAAAACCUGAUGUCACAAGCAACUGUGGCACUAAAAAAGGAGUAGGUGCUGUAUUAUAACAGAAGUACCCAGCAAUUCCACUACCUAAACCAAGAACCUGAACCAGUUUAUUCAGAUGCUAAUACAAUUAAUCUGAAAACUCUGCAUGCAAAUCACAAAACAACUGAUUUUUGAAGAUGAGUAUCUGGUGAGAUUACCAGUUCAACAGUUAACCAAUAAAGUCUUUAAUUAAAACACAAAA